rnacentral:lncRNA from 1 species
CCGAGCGGUGCUCGGGUGGUCAGCCGCGCGGGCGCGGAGCUGCCGGCGCAAGUUCGAUUCUUGAGGAUCGCAACUCACGUUUCUUACCUGGGGAUUUUUCCCCUCACACGCGUGUGCACCCCAAAAUCCUAAGCGUGUGAUAGGGACGCGCACGCGUGUGUGUGCGUGUGUCCUGGUGUGUGUUCGUGUACGUCCCGAAUUGUACCCUUAAAAAAACCCUUUGCCUUUGCCUUUUAUUCGAUUUCCACUAGACUUGAUUUUCAUGGAUAAGCUAGACAUAGCCGCAUAGGUGUCUGACAGUAUUGACAGUUCUGUCUGUCCAAUCCCAAAUGCACGAUUGGGGUAAUUCCAUAACUAUAUAGUACUAAGGUAUUCAUCCUGGAUAGAACUA